UCGGUCCCGGUUCACGAGCAGCGCCCUGCUGCCGACCCGGUGCC
rfam:Saccharothrix sp. ST-888 contig-1, whole genome shotgun sequence.